rnacentral:lncRNA from 1 species
AUUUUUAAAUUAUACUAAAGAAGCUUUAGUAUAUUUACUUGAUGUUAAACUAUUUCACUAAAUUUUUAUAAUAAGAAUUAUUAAAAUUUUAGUACAUUAUGGAUGAUUCUGGAGAAGUAAUUAUAGCUAUAAAUCAUUCUUUCCAAGAGGAAAAUGAUGGGGAAAUUACCAUUCCUUUAAAUGAACAGAAGGUUGAUAGUGUUGACUAUGCAGAGCAGACAAUAAGC